AUGUGCGAUUGUUUCCACUUCACCUUCUUGCCCUGGCAAGCGGCACCGGUGCAAGAAACUGUGUCCAGAGAUGACUACAUGCUGCAAGAUCGUGGAGGGACAGAUGAAGAUUCAACUCAAACCUCACCGCUGAAGCGUAUCCGUCCUCUGAGAUUCCAUGCCAGCGAUACCUUGGUGACUGGAAAUGAUUAUCCAGACGUGGCGGCUGAUGUUCCAGAGAGAUACCGUCCUCCUCCGCAAGGCUCUUCACCGGUGUACGAAGGCCUUCCUAUAGAAUACAUUGACGCUGAUUCAAAGUCGAGUAAGGAGCAGCUGCUGGAAGCUUGGAAAAGGUUUCUUCCAGGACAGAGAAUGGCAAUGGCUACGUCGGACGUCUCUGCCUUGUCCGGCAGUGUUGAGGUAUUGCUAAACAAAGUUUACUUGUUUACUUGAGGUACGACACAUAGUAGUGCUGCCGAAUAUAUCAUUUGCACACUUACAUGCACAAGGCAGAUUUCUUCACAUACAUGGGUGGUUCAAAGUUGACG
rnacentral:lncRNA from 1 species